ACCCACCUCAAGAAACCCAGUGGUUGAAGAGCUUCUGCCCCUUCAGUUGGUCUCUGGCUGAGUUGUGGCACCUCAAAACAUUUUGCCCCUGAGGCCCCACUGUGAGAAGCUGCAUUUGUGAUCAUCCACAGUGAAAAUCUGUGCAUGAAAAUCCACCCCAUGAGUGUGCUGCUCCAUGUAGAGUCAGGCAGAUGGUUGUCAGACCACUCAGGAAAUACAAGGUUUGUGUAAUCUGGGGGCCUCCCUCUGAUGAUGACCAGCACCAAGUGCCUCAAACAAAACUGCAAGAAACAGAAUGCCUUUGUUUAAGCAAUGGAUCACAAUAAAACCUGUUUCAGUGGUUUCAGUUCCUGAGGGUUGAUGUAUCAUGUAUUCAAACUGUCUGAUGAAUCUCAAAGGACUCCAGCUAUUCUCCUUAAAUGACAUCA